rnacentral:misc_RNA from 1 species
GAUGAAGAACGUAGCGAAAUGCGAUACUUGGUGUGAAUUGCAGAAUCCCGUGAACCAUCGUGUCUUUGAACGCAAGUUGCGCCCGAAGCCACUAGGCCGAGGGCACGCCUGCCUGGGCGUCACACGCCGUUGCCCCCCCAUCUACUCCUUCGGGAUUGCGGGGGGGCGGAUGAUGGCCUCCUGUGCGCCUAGCCGCGCGGUUGGCAUAAAUACCAAGUCCUCGGCGACGCACGCCACGACAAUCGGUGGUUGCGAAACCUCGGUUGCCCGUCGUGUGCGUUCGUCGCGCAUCGAGGGCUCGAAAAAAUGCUCGGCUCCGGCUGGGCUUUCAACGCGACCCCAGGUCAGGCGGGGUUACCCGCUGAAUUUAAGCAUAUCAAUAAGCGGAGGA